CAGCCGCCACGGUAAUAUGUAGGUGGCAAGCGUUGUCCGGAAUUAUUGGGCGUAAAGGGCUCGCAGGCGGUUUCUUAAGUCUGAUGUGAAAGCCCCCGGCCCAACCGGGGAGGGUCAUUGGAAACUGGGAAACUUGAGUGCAGAAGAGGAGAGUGGAAUUCCACGUGUAGCGGUGAAAUGCGUAGAGAUGUGGAGGAACACCAGUGGCGAAGGCGACUCUCUGGUCUGUAACUGACGCUGAGGAGCGAAAGCGUGGGGAGCGAACAGGAUUAGAUACCCCCGUAGUCCCUGUCUCUUAUAC
rnacentral:rRNA from 1 species